UGCCUACGGGACGCAGCAGUGAGGAAUAUUGGUCAAUGGCCGGAAGGCUGAACCAGCCAAGCCGCGUGAGGGAGGAAGGCGCAGAGCGUCUCAGACCUCUUUUGCCGGGGGACAAAAGGCCGGACUCGUCCGGUCCUGAGGGUACCCGGAGAAAAAGCAUCGGCUAACUCCGUGCCAGCAGCCGCGGUAAUACGGAGGAUGCGAGCGUUAUCCGGGUUUAUUGGGUUUAAAGGGGUCGCAGGCGGGCCUUUAA
rnacentral:rRNA from 1 species